rnacentral:rRNA from 1 species
GGGGAAUAUUGGACAAUGGGCGCAAGCCUGAUCCAGCCAUACCGCGUGGGUGAAGAAGGCCUUCGGGUUGUAAAGCCCUUUUGUUGGGAAAGAAAUCCAGCCGGCUAAUACCUGGUUGGGAUGACGGUACCCAAAGAAUAAGCACCGGCUAACUUCGUGCCAGCAGCCGCGGUAAUACGAAGGGUGCAAGCGUUACUCGGAAUUACUGGGCGUAAAGCGUGCGUAGGUGGUCGUUUAAGUCCGUUGUGAAAGCCCUGGGCUCAACCUGGGAACUGCAGUGGAUACUGGGCGACUAGAGUGUGGUAGAGGGUAGCGGAAUUCCUGGUGUAGCGGUGAAAUGCGUAGAUAUUAGGAGGAACACCGGUGGCGAAGGCGGCUUGCUGGACAAAUACUGACGCUGAGGUGCGAAAGCGUGGGGAGCAAACA